GUGAGUCAUCGAGUCUUUGAACGCACCUUGCGCUCCUUGGUAUUCCGAGGAGCAUGCCUGUUUGAGUGUCAUUAAAUUAUCAACCCACCUGACUUUUUCUGUCGGGUCGGGCUUGGAUGUUGGGGGCUUUGUGGGCUUUGUUCAGUUCUGCUCCCCUUAAAUGCAUUAGCAGGACCAGUUGUAAACCGUCCUUGGUGUGAUAAUUAUCUGCACCAUAUGUCUGGUACACAUUUUUGUUUGUCCAGCUCACAAUUCGUUAGCCUCGGGCUUCAACUCUUUAAUGUUUGACCUCAAAUCAUGGUAGGACUACCCGCUGAACUUAAGCAUAUCAAUAAGCGGAGG
rnacentral:rRNA from 1 species